AAUGAACGUUGGCGGCGUGGAUUAGGCAUGCAAGUCGAACGGGUUUGGUAGCAAUACUGAACCAGUGGCGUAAGGGUGAGUAAGGCGACGGCAACCAACCCCGAGGUUGGGCAUAGCCGCGGGAAACUGCGGGUAAUUCCCAGCGAUGUUUAGACCGGGCAUCCGGUUUUAACCAAAGUUCUGGCGCCUUGGGACGGGCCGUCGUGGUAUUAGGUAGUUGGCGGGGUAAUGGCCCACCAAGCCUCUGAUGCCUACCGGGCGUGCGAGCGUGGCCCGGCACACUGGGACUGAGACACUGCCCAGACUCCUACGGGAGGCUGCAGUCGAGAAUCUUCGGCAAUGGGCGCAAGCCUGACCGAGCGACGCCGCGUGGAGGAUGAAGGCCUUCGGGUUGUAAACUCCUGUCGAGGGGGAGGAAGGCGCAAGCUUGACCUAUCCCUGGAGGAAGCACGGGCUAAGUUCGUGCCAGCAGCCGCGGUAACAC
rnacentral:rRNA from 1 species